GCCUAACACAUGCAAGUCGAGCGGCAGCGGGUCCUUCGGGAUGCCGGCGAGCGGCGGACGGGUGAGUAAUGCCUAGGAAUCUGCCUGGUAGUGGGGGAUAACGUCCGGAAACGGACGCUAAUACCGCAUACGUCCUACGGGAGAAAGCGGGGGAUCUUCGGACCUCGCGCUACCAGAUGAGCCUAGGUCGGAUUAGCUAGUUGGUGGGGUAAAGGCUCACCAAGGCGACGAUCCGUAACUGGUCUGAGAGGAUGAUCAGUCACACUGGAACUGAGACACGGUCCAGACUCCUACGGGAGGCAGCAGUGGGGAAUAUUGGACAAUGGGCGAAAGCCUGAUCCAGCCAUGCCGCGUGUGUGAAGAAGGUCUUCGGAUUGUAAAGCACUUUAAGUUGGGAGGAAGGGCAGUCAACUAAUACCUGGUUGUUUUGACGUUACCAACAGAAUAAGCACCGGCUAACUUCGUGCCAGCAGCCGCGGUAAUACGAAGGGUGCAAGCGUUAAACGGAAUUACUGGGCGUAAAGCGCGCGUAGGUGGUUCAGCAAGUUGGAGGUGAAAUCCCCGGGCUCAACCUGGGAACUGCCUCCAAAACUACUGGGCUAGAGUACGGUAGAGGGUGGUGGAAUUUCCUGUGUAGCGGUGAAAUGCGU
rnacentral:rRNA from 1 species